GUCUGUUCAGGUCCUUGGUCCAUUUGUUGAUUGGGUUAUUUGUUAUCAUAUUAUUUAAUUUUUUGAGUUCUUUGCAUACUCUGGAUAUUAGGGCUCUAUCUGAAGUGUGAGGAAUAAAAAUUUGUUCCCAGGAUGUAGGCUCCCUAUUUACCUCUCUUAUUGUUUCUCUUGCUGAGAAAAAACUUUUUAGUUUAAAUAAGUCUCAUUUGUUGAUUCUUGUUAUUAACUCUUGUGCUAUGGGUGUCCUAUUAAGGAAUUUGGAGCCCGACCCCACAGUAUGUAGAUCGGAGCCAACUUUUUCUUCUAUCAGACGCAGAGUGUCUGAUUUGAUAUUAAGCUCCAUGAUCCAUUUUGAGUUAACUUUUGUGCAUGGUGAGAGAAAGGGAUUCAGUUUCAUUUUGUUGCAUAUGGAUUUCCAGUUUUCCAAGCACCAUUUGUUGAAGAUGCUAUCUUUCCUCCAUUGCAUGCUUUUAGCCACUUUAUCAAAUAUAAGAUAGUUGUAACUUUGUGGAUUAGUCUCUGUGUCCUCUAUUCUGUACCAUUGGUCCACCUGCCUGUUUUGGUACCAGUAUCAUGCCAUUUUUGUAACUAUUGCUCUGUAGUAUAGUUUGAAAUCUGGUUUCGCUAUACCGCCUGAUUCACACUUCCUGCUUAGAGUUUCCUUUGCUAUUCUGGGACUUUUAUUUUUCCAUAUGAAUUUCAUGAUUGCUUUAUCUAUUUCUACAAGAAAUGCCAUUGGGAUUUUGAUUGGCAUUGCAUUAAACCUAUAGAGUACUUUUGGUAAUAUUGCUAUUUUGAUGAUGUUAGUUCUGCCUAUCCAUGAAUAGGGUAUAUUUUUCCAUCUUCUAAGAUCUUCUUCUAUUUCUCUCUUUAGGGUUCUGUAGUUUUCAUUGUAUAAAUCUUUCACCUCUUUUGUUAGGUUGAUUCCCAACUAUUUUAUUUUGUGAGGAUAUUGUGCAUGGAGUGUUUUUCCUCAUUUCCAUUUCAGAAGUUUUGUCGCUGAUAUACAGGAAUGUCUUUGAUUUAUGCGUGUUGAUUUUAUAUCCUGCCACUUUGCUGAAUUCAUUUAUUAGUUCUAGUAGUUUCUUUGUAGACCCUUUGGGGUUUUCUAGGUAUAGAAUUAUAUCAUCUGCAAAUAGUGAUAAUUUAAGUUCUUCUUUUCCUGUUUUUAUGCCUUUAAUUUCUUUCGUCUGUCUAAUUGCUCUGGCCAGUAUUUUGAGAACUAUAUUGAAUAGAAGUGGUGAUAGAGGGCAUCCCUGUCUUGUUCCAGAUUUUAGAGGGAAUGCCUUCAAUUUUUCUCCAUUCAGAAUGAUGCUAGCCUGAGGCUUAGCAUAGAUAUCUUUUACAAUGUUGAGGUAAGUUCCUGUUAUCCCUAGUUUUUCUAGUGUUUUGAACAUAAAAGGAUGCUGUACUUUGUCAAAUGCUUUUUCUGCGUCUAUCGAGAUGAUCAUAUGGUUCUUAUCUUUAAGUCUAUUGAUGUGAUGAAUAACAUUUAUUGAUUUCCGUAUAUUGAACCAUCCUUGCAUCCCAGGAAUGAAUCCUACUUGAUCAUGG
rnacentral:lncRNA from 1 species